rnacentral:rRNA from 1 species
AUUAAGGGCGCACGGUGGAUGCCUUGGCACUAGAAGCCGAAGAAGGACGUUACUAACGACGAUAUGCUUUGGGUAGCUGUAAGUAAGCGUUGAUCCAGAGAUUUCCGAAUGGGGGAACCCAACAUGAGUGAUGUCAUGUUAUCGACAUGUGAAUUCAUAGCAUGUCAGAAGGCAGACCCGGAGAACUGAAACAUCUUAGUACCCGGAGGAAGAGAAAGAAAAAUCGAUUCCCUGAGUAGCGGCGAGCGAAACGGGAAGAGCCCAAACCAACAAGCUUGCUUGUUGGGGUUGUAGGACACUCUAUACGGAGUUACAAAAGAACAUGUUAGACGAAUCAUCUGGAAAGAUGAAUCAAAGAAGGUAAAAAUCCUGUAGUCGAAAACAUAUUCUCUCUUGAGUGGAUCCUGAGUACGACGGAGCACGUGAAAUUCCGUCGGAAUCUAGGAGGACCAUCUCCUAAGGCUAAAUACUCUCUAGUGACCGAUAGUGAACCAGUACCGUGAGGGAAAGGUGAAAAGUACCCCGGAAGGGGAGUGAAAGAGAACUUGAAACCGUGUGCUUACAAGUAGUCAGAGCCCGUUAAUGGGUGAUGGCG